GACGAACGCUGGCGGCGUGCUUAACACAUGCAAGUCGAACGAUGAACCCGGAGCUUGCUCCGGUGGAUUAGUGGCGAACGGGUGAGUAACACGUGAGUAACCUGCCCUUGACUCUGGGAUAACUGCGGGAAACUGUAGCUAAUACCGGAUACGACCCUCGGCGGCAUCGCCAGGGGGUGGAAAGAAUUUCGGUCAAGGAUGGACUCGCGGCCUAGCAGCUAGUUGGUGAGGUAACGGCUCACCAAGGCGACGACGGGUAGCCGGCCUGAGAGGGUGACCGGCCGCACUGGGACUGAGACACGGCCCAGACUCCUACGGGAGGCAGCAGGGGAGAAUAUUGCACAAUGGGCGCAAGCCUGAUGCAGCAAGGCCGCGUGAGGGAUGACGGCCUUCGGGUUGUAAACCUCUUUCAGUAGGGACGAAGCGCAAGUGACGGUACCUACAGAAGAAGGACCGGCCAACUACGUGCCAGCAGCCGCCGUAA
rnacentral:rRNA from 1 species